UGGGGAAUUUUGGACAAUGGGCGAAAGCCUGAUCCAGCAAUGCCGCGUGUGUGAAGAAGGCCUUCGGGUUGUAAAGCACUUUUGUCCAGAAAGAAAUGGCUCUGGUUAAUACCUGGGGUCGAUGACGGUACCGGAAGAAUAAGGACCGGCUAACUACGUGCCAGCAGCCGCGGUAAUACGUAGGGUCCAAGCGUUAAUCGGAAUUACUGGGCGUAAAGCGUGCGCAGGCGGUUGUGCAAGACCGAUGUGAAAUCCCCGAGCUUAACUUGGGAAUUGCAUUGGUGACUGCACGGCUAGAGUGUGUCAGAGGGGGGUAGAAUUCCACGUGUAGCAGUGAAAUGCGUAGAGAUGUGGAGGAAUACCGAUGGCGAAGGCAGCCCCCUGGGAUAACACUGACGCUCAUGCACGAAAGCGUGGGGAGCAAACAGGAUUAGAUACCCUGGUAGUCCACGCCCUAAACGAUGUCAACUAGUUGUUGGGGAUUCAUUUCCUUAGUAACGUAGCUAACGCGUGAAG
rnacentral:rRNA from 1 species